GAUGAAGAACGCAGCGAAAUGCGAUAAGUAAUGUGAAUUGCAGAAUUCAGUGAAUCAUCGAAUCUUUGAACGCACCUUGCACCCUUUGGCAUUCCGAAGGGUAUGCUCGUUUGAGUGUCAUUGUACUCUCACACUCCCACUCUUUUGGAUUGGGAGCGGUGGACUUGGGUGUUGCUGCUUCACUGUGGCUCGCCUCAAAUGGAGUAGUGCAACUCUCGGUUGGACAUAGUACGGCGUGAUAAGUGUCUUCGCCGGCGCCUCACUAGAGGGUGGCCGAUCGGGAGCUCUGUGCUUCAAACCGUCUUCGGACAAUCUCUGACACCUUGACCUCAAAUCGAGUAGGACUACCCGCUGAACUUAAGCAUAUCAAUAAGCGGAGGA
rnacentral:misc_RNA from 1 species